CAGAUAUUGAUGAAAAUGAAUGGAUUAUGUGAGAUGAUUUCCAGUCAAAGAGAAAUGCAGCACGAUUGUUCCAUGGGAGGACUGCAGAGGUGUCAGGACUUCCGUGUUCCUGCCUUUAGAGUGUUUCUGUUUCUCCAAACUGGGAACACACUGACCAUCAUCUACUGCUCGGAAUACAUUGACUGUGGUAUCAACCCCUUUGGAAAGUCCUUGACUUGACUCACUGCCCUUUACACUCUUUGUUCCUGGUA